GUCAAUCCACGCCCAAAGAGCGAAUAGGCCCGCUUAGGUAGGAGAGGCAAAGUGGUUGAUGUGUAGAAGGUGAAAAAUGGCGGCUGCGGAUUUCGAGCCGGGCAGAAUGAGCAUAAAAGAAAAAGCAAAGCUGCAAUUAAGGAAGUUUGACAUUGGAGAUAAAUUUUCCAACAUUGAAUUAGCAAAAGCCUCAGUUCUUAUCCCAUUAAUGGUCAAAGAUGGAAAGCUAUGUCUUCUUUUCACUCUUAGAUCAAUGAAGUUGAGAACAUCUCCAGGAGAAGUUUGUUUUCCAGGAGGUAGAAGUGACCCAACAGACACAGAUGAAAUUGCCACGGCUCUUCGAGAAGCUAAAGAAGAAGUGGGACUUCUUCCUGAACAGGUUGAAGUCAUCUGUAGACUUGUUCCUGGAAUAGAUAAAACUUCUUCUGUCGUAACUCCAGUUGUAGCCUUCAUAGAAGACACUUUUCAAGCCCAACCAAAUCCAGAGGAAGUCAGCCACGUGUUCUCAGUACCGCUGGAAUAUUUUAUACGCCCUGCGAAACACAGCGCUGUACCUAUGAAAAGAAAGGGACAGUCUUCAUAUUUCAUGCAUUUCUUUGACUAUGAUGACCCAGAGCAUCAGAUGUCAUUUACAGUGUGGGGACUCACUGCCCAUUUUGCAGCCUUUGUUGCUCUUGCAAUUUACGGGGAGAAACCGACGUUUGAAGUUGAAUUUGACCUGGAUAAUUUGAAUUCUUCAGCUGAGAAAAACUUUAUGACGCGCUACCAUGGCGUAAAAAGCAAACUUUGACAGGGAUUUGACUUGGUCAGUGAUGCUGCAGAAUUAAUCCUUCACUUGGAUCACACAUUUUAGCUGGCAGAUGCAGAUGUUUCCAGGAAGGCCACAAGGGGAGCCUGAUGAAGGCAUUCAUUGAACCUUGAAUUUGUUCCCCCUCAACCAACUUUCAGUGGCUUCCUAAUUCGGAAGAUAAAACUAUUGUGGCUAAGAGACGUUGGGUUAUUUUUGUUUUGUUUCUGUCUAAUAAAAAUAAUGUGGGUAAAAAAAAAUGUAAGGAAACAAAAACGAUGUACAAGUGUAGAACUGUUGGAUAGAUCUAGAUCUAUCUAUAGAAACUACUGAUAGAUAGAUAGAUAGAUAGAUAGAUAGAUAGAUAGAUAGAUAGAUAGAUAGAUCGAUCAGAUAGAAUCUACUGUUCUAGGCCUCUGACAUACUUUUCUGUGGGUGCUUCAUCAUUGCAGGUUUUCAAGAAGAGACUAGGUAGCCAUUUGUCCAGAAUAGUACAGGGCAAGGAAGUCUCUUUCAGCCUUAGUGUUUUAUGUUCUUCUCCCCCAUGGCAUUCUGGAGGUUUUAGAAUAGAAUAACAGACUUUGAAGGGAUCUCGGAGGUCUUCUAGUCAAACCCCCUGCUUAGGCAGGAAACCCUACACCACUUCAGACAAAUGGUUAUCCAACAUCUUCUUAAAAACUUCCAGUGUUGGAGCAUCCACAACUUCUGGAGGCAAGUUGUUCCACCGGAUUAAUUGUUCUAACUGUCAGGAAAUUUCUCCUUAGUUCUAAAUUGCUUCUUUGGAUUUUUCUGGAAGUCAAAUCUUUUGAUCUGGUGUUCUGAAAGAAAAAAGGGGACUAUUUUAGGACUGGACCAAGAUUACAAGAGUAUAUCCCACCCUUCUUCCAAAACAUGAACAUUUGCAAAGGCAAACCCUAGUAAUUUCCCAUAAUAUCCUGGAGUAGCAGCAUGUUGGGAUUUUAAAAUGACAGAAUGGCAGUUUAAACUGCCAAGUUCUCUCAACGUCAAUUCUGCACUGUUAAUUUUAAGGCACAUUAUUUGCUUAAUAUAUAUUUUAGUUGUUUAAUACAUUUUAUUUGCUUGAGUUGGUAAAGAACGUAUCUUCUGCUGUGAAUAGUUAUAGACUCUUUUUUUCUGUGCUGUGAAUUAUUUACACUUUGCUGCUUUUAAUUUUUUUUUUUCCUGUUGCAGUCUAUUUGACCCUCCCUCCCCUUUUCUUGGCCUGCUAUGUUAUAAAUGAAAUCAUGUUCCAGUGACCUUCAUUGCAUGUUGCUAUGGAGCUGGGUUAUGUUUUGAAUAAAAAUUUAAAAAUAGAAUAUGUAAUUUAAUCAUAAUAUUUUCUAUUUAUUCAACUUUUAUGAUUAUUAUUCAGGAAGUGACUCUGGGUCUCUAUACAGAGAGUUGAAAGCCACACAAUGCAAGUCAGAAAAUGAUGAUGAUGAUGAUGUUGAAAAUCAGCUGUAAAAUAUGUAAAUUAUCCAUUAGUAAAGCAUUGUAUUGUCUGCAGAUAUGGGUCUGAAAUUAUAUAGAACAUGUUAAUUCUCUUGCACACAAAAAAGGUUUUCACUGUCAACUUGCUAGUAACAUUCUCUCCAUUACCUCAUAAAAUUAUUCACAUUCUUUUUUUUAGGAACCAGGGAAUUCAGAAUUAAUUAGUACAGAAUUUCCCUUGUUUGCUUAUUCCAGUAAGCCAUGUUUUAACUAAGAUUGAGAUCACUAUCCUGAUUCAUUGAUAGCAUUAAGCUACAUUGGCAAAGUGCAUGAAUACCAAAAACGAAUAAUGCAUAGAAUACUAUAGAAACAAUGAAUGGCUAGAUUUACUUACAUACCACUCCAUGCGAGUAGGUUUUGAAUCACGGUUUGUAAAACAAACCUUAGUAGCCAAGUCAGCACAUACGGCUAAACACUAUAUACCUAAUCAACUCAACAUUCUUACAGCAUUCAAUUAAAUGAAAACGCUGGACUGAUGCUUCUUCCUAGUGUUUGGAGACAGUAGUACAGGCUGUUAUUUGUUUCAUGCUCAUCUUAUGCUAACCUUUUGGACUCCGGUAGAAGAAUAUGUGCAGGACUCCAGUCUCGUGGACUCAGUAGUAUUUCCUUCAUGAUGUUGUCAUGACAACUACAUCUCUUAAACCAUCGCAAUGUACAGCAUGCUCUUUUAGCAAGCAAGGAAAACACAGGCAUUAGGUGCCCACCAAUCUAUAAUACCGGGGAAGAACGCAUGUGGUGGAUUUGAUUACUAUUUUAGUGUUUUCCACAAUGACUCUGAACUUGGUAUGGAGGUACUUAAAGACUGACUACAGUCAAACUACAUUUUUAAGCAAAUUUACUUAAAAUACGGGAGACUUUUAUUCCCAUAUGCAACAGAGACUUCCCAAAUUGGCUGCAAGAAGGGGAAAUAUUUUGUGAUUAUUAUAAAUAUUCCUGGGAGGGGGAAGGCUUUUUUGGGAAGCCAUAGCGUCUAACUUAUGGCAUAACUGAAAAUUUAUUCUGUGCCAUGUGUCGGAUGAGUGUUGGGGAAUGAAUGGAGCCUGGACAACAGAGUAGUGAAUGAGAUCAAAGCAUAAUUCGUGAUUUUUCAAAGCGUUGCUAACCACAUUUUUUUCCCCCUCAAAAACACCAUCCGCUUAAAUUUUAUCGCAUGUGGAAAUUGUUACAGAAGCUCUAUCUUCUUUCUAUGUGCUGAAUUAAUUAUUGGAGAAGCCUGGAAGACUCCCAGAUUUUUAUUUUUGCAUUUCAGAACAUUCGGAUAGACUUUUAUCUUUAGGAAAUACAUAUGCAUACAAAUGGAUAUGCAUUAUCAGUAGCCAAACUUCAGUUGAGCAUGUAGUCCAGGAACUGAGCUUUGAGGCUUUCUCGUCUGUAAUGCAAAUUUGCACGCAUUAAUGUUACAGAACUAGGCAGCAUCCAUUUCCAUGCUACAAUUGGCAAAGUUUACUAUAGAUUGUUGAGAUAUGUGGAAUCUCUGUUGUGGAGAGAAAAAGAGCAACUGGGAAAUGCUGAUACUGGAAGCAGACAUGCAAGAAAUAGCUAUUUUGCUGUAUAAGCUAAAGGAAGAAAGUUCAAGGAAUUGGACAGCAGGAGUCCUAAAAUUAAUUACAUAUUGCUUCCUGUUCCAACACUUUCUAUUUAAUGGGACUGGACAGAUACCUCUGCUGUCUUGACACUUUGCAAUGGAUCUUAAACGUAUUAUGCAUUUAAGGAGUUUCAUCCUAUCUUCUGACUGUUAAUUGCUAUUGGACAUGUAGAACACAUUGACUAAAUAAAUAAAUGCUCCUUG